UCAGACGAUGCGUCAUGCAUAUCAAUAAGCGGAGGAAAAGAAACUAACAAGGAUUCCCCUAGUAACGGCGAGUGAAGCGGGAAGAGCUCAAAUUUGAAAUCUUAAAGGGUUUCCCUUUACGAAUUGUAGUUUAAAGAAGUGCUUUCUGUUGAGGUUUUGGUAAAAGUUCUUUGGAAUAGGACAUCAUAGAGGGUGAGAAUCCCGUAUUUGACCUUUACUUUCAACUUUGUGAUACACUUUCAAAGAGUCGGAUUGUUUGGGAAUGCAGUCCAAAAUGGGUGGUAAAUUUCAUCUAAAGCUAAAUAUUGGCGAGAGACCGAUAGCGAACAAGUACCGUGAGGGAAAGAUGAAAAGAACUUUGAAAAGAGAGUUAAACAGUACGUGAAAUUGUCAAAAGGGAAGCGUUUGACACCAGUGUUGUUUUUCUGAAAAUCAAUUAAAGAACUGUUUAUGCUAAGUUGUUUAGACUUUAUCAGCUAACUGUUUAGUUUUGAGCUUUUCUUUAAUGCACUUUUCAGUUAACAAGUCAACAUCAAUUUCUUUUGCUGUAAAAAAGCUUGAGGAAGGUGGCUUGAGAUUCGUCUUAAGUGUUUAUAGCCUCUUGCCUAUGCAGUCGGAGAGAUUGAGGUCUGCAGCGUAGGAUCCUUCGGGGCUAAAUGCAUUUGUGCUAAGUUAUAGCAUUUUAUAGACAACUUGUUGACUAUGAUUUGUCUUGUAGCUUACUCGCUUAUGUUAUUUUACCUACGCUUAGGAUGUUGAGCGCAUGUCUCUCUCU
rnacentral:rRNA from 1 species